rnacentral:rRNA from 1 species
AAUGGAGGAAACUCUGAUGCAGCGAUGCCGCGUGAGUGAAGAAGGCCCUUGGGUUGCAAAGCUCUUUCGUCGGGGAAGAAAAUGACUGUACCCGAAUAAGAAGGUCCGGCUAACUUCGUGCCAGCAGCCGCGGUAAUACGAAGGGACCUAGCGUAGUUCGGAAUUACUGGGCUUAAAGAGUUCGUAGGUGGUUGAAAAAGUUAGUGGUGAAAUCCCAGAGCUUAACUCUGGAACUGCCAUUAAAACUUUUCAGCUAGAGUAUGAUAGAGGAAAGCAGAAUUUCUAGUGUAGAGGUGAAAUUCGUAGAUAUUAGAAAGAAUACCAAUUGCGAAGGCAGCUUUCUGGAUCAUUACUGACACUGAGGAACGAAAGCAUGGGUAGCGAAGAGGAUU